rnacentral:rRNA from 1 species
AUACGGAGGGUGCAAGCGUUACUCGGAAUCACUGGGCGUAAAGCGCACGCAGGCGGCUAUUUAAGUUGGAUGUGAAAGCCUACGGCUCAACCGUAGAACUGCAUCCAAAACUAUUUAGCUAGAGUGUGGGAGAGGAAGAUGGAAUUAGUUGUGUAGGGGUAAAAUCCGUAGAGAUAACUAGGAAUACCAAAAGCGAAGGCAAUCUUCUGGAACACUACUGACGCUGAGGCGCGAAAGCGUGGGGAGCAAACAGGAUUAGAAACCCUAGUAGUCC